GCAAACUUGGUCAUUUAGAGGAAGUAAAAGUCGUAACAAGGUUUCCGUAGGUGAACCUGCGGAAGGAUCAAUGCGGAGAAGAGGGUGGAGUGUGGAGUUGUGAGUGGGGGGGAGGAGAUUCCUUUUCACAGACUACAGACACAUUUCCACAAUAAACCUUUGUGAAUUGCUGCCAGGGUAUGUAUUGUGGAGGGGGGAAGGCAGAAAGUGAAACGUUUGGGGGGAGGAGAUGAGAGAGAUAAUUAUAUUAAACAAACUUUUAACAAUGGAUCUCUAGGCUCUUGCAUCGAUGAAGAACGCAGC
rnacentral:misc_RNA from 1 species